rnacentral:rRNA from 1 species
CCUACGGGUGGCAGCAGUGGGGAAUAUUGGUCAAUGGGCGUAAGCCUGACCCAGCAACGCCGCGUGAAGGAAGAAGGCUCUCUGGUUGUAAACUCCUUUUUUUGAGGACGAAACAAAUGACGGUACUCAAUGAAUAAGCCACGGCUAACUACGUGCCAGCGGCCGCGGUAAUACGUAGGUGGCAAGCGUUAUCCGGAUUUACUGGGUGUACAGGGCGUGUAGGCGGGACUGUAAGUCAGAUGUGAAAACCAUGGGCUCAACCCAUGGCUUGCAUUUGAAACUGUAGUUCUUGAGUGAUGGAGAGGCAGGCGGAAUGCGGUGUGUAGCGGUGAAAUGCGUAGAUAUAAGGAAGAACACCAGUGGCGAAGGCGGCCUGCUGGACAAUAACUGACGCUGAGGCGCGAAAGCGUGGGGAGCAAACAGGAUUAGAUACCCCAGUAGUC